GAUUACAAUAUACUUCUCUGUAAUCGCGGCUG
rnacentral:ncRNA from 1 species